AAUGGACGAAAGUCUGAACCAGCCAUGCCGCGUGCAGGAGGACUGCCUAUGGGUUGUAAACUGCUUUUAUUUGGGAAGAACCUCUCUACGUGUAGAGGGCUGACGGUACCAAACGAAUAAGGACCGGCUAACUCCGUGCCAGCAGCCGCGGUAAUACGGAGGGUCCAAGCGUUAUCCGGAUUUAUUGGGUUUAAAGGGUUCGUAGGCGGGAUAUUAAGUCAGUGGUGAAAACCUGCAGCUCAACUGCAGACCUGCCAUUGAUACUGGUAUUCUUGAAUCUAGUUGAGGUAGGCGGAAUGUGUCAUGUAGCGGUGAAAUGCAUAGAUAUGACACAGAACACCGAUUGCGAAGGCAGCUUACUAAACUAGUAUUGACGCUAGUGAACGAAAGCGUGGGGAGCGAACAGGAUU
rnacentral:rRNA from 1 species